rnacentral:rRNA from 1 species
UACGAAGGGUGCAAGCGUUAUUCGGAAUUACUGGGCGUAAAGCGUGCGUAGGUGGUUUGUUAAGUCUGAUGUGAAAGCCCUGGGCUCAACCUGGGAAUUGCAUUGGAUACUGGCAAGCUAGAGUGCGGUAGAGGAUGGCGGAAUUCCCGGUGUAGCGGUGAAAUGCGUAGAGAUCGGGAGGAACAUCUGUGGCGAAGGCGGCCAUCUGGACCAGCACUGACACUGAGGCACGAAAGCGUGGGGAGCAAACAGG